CAUCCACAGCCCUAUAGGAACCUGUACCAACCCGGACAGACAGAGACAACGAGAUGAAGAGGAGGAGGAGGAGGAUGUAGAACUAGCAGAGGAGGUGUUAGAACUGGGGGAGGAGGUGGGUGAGGACAUGGAGGACAUUGGGAUGGCAGGUGAGGGGGAAGGUGCACCUGAUCAUUUCGAAGUGACGAUGCAAGCUAGCGGGAGCGGAGGAAAGGAGGGAGAGGAGGGGGAGAGGGGGAUUGAAGAAGAGAUUGGUUUACAGGAAAAGAGAGAGGGAGAUAAAGGGGAGGGGGAGCUGACAGUGACAGUUGUUGUAAUUGAAGAGGAGCAGGAGAAAUCUGUAGAGGCUGUUGAAGAAGAGAAGUUCACUGAGAGAGAGGAGUCAGCAGGGGCGGACAAAAAGAGAGAAAUAGUGGAGAGAGAACCUCCUCACCCCCCACCAUCCCCUAGUUUACCUGAAACUGAGUCCAUUAAUGAUGAGGUAGAGACAAAAGACGAGGACACAUCUCCAGAGGCAGAAAAGGCACAAAUCGUUUUGCCUAUUGAUGAGACAGAGAAGACAGAGGACAAUGUUGGUUUGACGACAACAGAACCGCCAGCCCCGUCAACUAAUGAUGAGGUGGAGAGUAAAGAAGAGCUAUGUAAUGAGAGUCGAAAGCCAGAAACCACAUCCACUACAGAUGAGUUAGCGAAGGGAGAGCAUAGUGGCGGUCAGGAUGCAGAGAUGUCCAUCAGCCAGGUGACUAAUGAUGAUGGCAUAGUAAGAGUGAGUGAUGAAAGUGGGAGUCAAGUGACUGAGGACUGUCAAACUGUGUCCACUAGUGAUGAGGUCAGAGGGACACGACAGGAGGAAGGACAGGAAGAGGAGCCUAAACAUCAGCCAGCCAAUGACAAUGAAGGAGAGAGUGAGGAAAGUAACAAUAAAUUGGCACAAAAUCUACAGGUUUCACAAGAAGAAAGGGAUGAGAACCAGCAGGGAAGUGAGAAGAGUACAGAGAAAAAAGAGGAGGAGGUUAAAAGCCCUGUUACAGAAGAACAGGGAGAGACAACUAAAGCAGUUUUAGAGAAAAAAGAGGAGGGGCAUCAAGCGACAGAGCACCAGCCCCCGUUGUUCGUUACCAAGGAGUUCAUAGAGCUUGGAGUCGUCAAGAGUCAGGCAACCACAGCUCAACAGCCACAGGAUGUUGUCACUCCACCUGUUGAGGGAGGGAGCAAGAGCAAGCCACAGCUACUGAUACAGCCCAAUGAGAGUCAGGAGGGUGAGAACAGCUCUAAAGAGGAGGGAGGUUUACAACAGACAAAACAACAGCUACAGGUGGAAGAGGGUGACAGUGAUAGGGCAGUGGAGAGAGGUGGUGGGGAGAGGGAAGAACCGCGACAGGUUGGGGAUAAUGCGGUGUUGGGGAUGGACACAGGAGGCAGUAAAGUAGAUGAGGAGCAAAAGAAGAAGGAUAAUGUAGACAUAGCAGAGGAAGAGAGAAGAGGUGGCAGUAUGGAGGAACAGACGGAAAAGGCUUUAGAGCCUGAUAAUGCUAACAGAGAAGAGGGGGAAGAGAAAGAAGACAAAGUUGUAGCUCAGCCACAGGUACAGAUACUCAAGGGUUCAGCAGGAGCUACACAGGAGGACGAUGACAAGGAUUUAGAGCAUGUUGAGGAGGCUUUCGAGCUUGAGGAGGAAGGAGACAUGGAGAAAGAACAGAAAGGAGAGGUCAUUCUGGAUGAGCCCGGAGCUGCAGAGGUGGGAGGGGCUGAAGAGAUGGAUAAUCUGGUCCCAGUCUCAGAGAUAGGGACGGGAGGAGCAGAGGGAGGGGGUGAGUUGGAGGAACAGCCAGUGACAAACAUUGACGAUAAUCUAGACUCACAGUCAGAGGGAGCGAUUGAGAUGGCGGAAGAGCCAGAAGAUCUCAUUGAGGAUGAGUUUAAAUCUGCAUUAGAGGGAUGCAGCGAGAGAGUAGAACAGCCAGGGCCUGCCACUAAGGAUGAGCCAGUAAAGUUUGGGAAGGAAUACACAGCGAAGGAAAGAAGGAAAGAGAAGAAAGAAGAGGUGGAGCUAGGGGUCAAAGGUCACAAAGCCUGGAUAGAGAAUGGGUUCCCUGGAACAGAGGAGGUGAAACGACAACUGCUGAAUGAGAUGCUGCUAUCUCCCACAAGGCUGAAACAAGGAGAAAUGAAAGAGGAGGUGACAGUAAAAAGAGUUAGGGUGACACCCCGCAGAGGGAGCAACGACUGGAACAAGAAGGCGGCCCCAGAGGAGGUACAGACCCACAGAGGGAGCAACGACUGGAACAAGAAGGGGGCCCCAGAGGAGGCGCAGACCCGCAGAGGGAGCAACGACUGGAACAAGAAGGAGGCCCCAGAGGAGGCGCAGACCCGCAGAAGAAGCGACGACUGGAUCAAGAAGGAGGCCUCAGAGGAGGCGCAGACCCCUGGGUGGAGGGAGGACUGGAUUAAGAAGUUGUCCCCAGAGGAGGCGCAGACCCCUGGGCGGAAGGAGGACGGGAUUAAGAAGUUGUCCCCAGAGGAAGCGCAGACCCCCGGGAGGAGGGAGGACUGGAUAAAGGAGCUGAAGUCUGUGCUCAAAGAGGAGGUACUUUCCCCGAAGAGGAGAGAGGAGCAGGUGAAGAAAAAGAAGAAGAAGGUGGUGGUCAUGGACGAGGUGCCCACGUUCAUGCACCAGAGGACAGAGGUGAAGAUAGAGGUGAAGAAAGAGAAGGAGGCGCAGGGGGAGGAGAAGACGCCAAAGAAGUCUGUGAGGCUGCAGAGCCCAACUCCUCAUGGGGAAGACAGCGACAGUUCGGACCCCCAGGAGUACGAGAUCUCCCUCUAUGUCAAGGUCUGGAGGGCUGCAUGCCAUGGACCCAGGACGUGACCAACACAACAAAGGCACAUUCCAGUGUUUGAUGAAGGUGCCCUGGUGCCCAGCUGAAGGAUUAAGCCUUGGGGAAAAUGUCCUAAUAUCCUGGCCUGUUCUCCUGGGGCGCCUGCUCACAUAAUUCAAUAGACGCCUUUGUCUUGCUCUUGGUGUGAGAGCAAUUGUAGGUAUGCUCCAUGGCCAAGGUCAGGGGAGGCAGGAGGCAGGAGCAAGCUCCAACUGUGGCUUUCACCAGAGUUAGAGAGUCAAGGAAAACAUGGAGGAAAUUAUUUUUACAUUCUCUCUCUUUCUCCCUCCCCUCUCUCUCUCUCUCUCUCUCUCUCUCUUUCUCUCUCUCCCCUCCACUCUCUCUCUUUCUCUCUCCCCCCUUCUCGCCCCUCUCUCUCUUUCUCUCUCUUUCUCUUUCUCUCCCCCUCUCUCUCUCUCCCCUUCUCCCCCCACCUCUCUCUUUCUCUCUGACAAUAAGCUGAUUAUCAGGCCUGCUGGUAAUGGAGCUGACUGGGGUGUCUGGGGACAAUCUGGGGACAAGAGGGGGUGACAGGGCCCACUCCGCCAACACACAUGCAGAUAUUUGACUUAUUGGUCCGCUGUUGUUGUCACUAUGGUAACAAAGUCACACAGCACACCUGAAUGGUCACCUAUUGCCAUGAGUUUUGGGGUCGGAGUUGAAGUGUGAUGAGUCGGACUUGGUUGUGUUUGUAAUGAUCUCAAUAGAAAUAUACAUGAUCAAACGAUCCUCUUUAUGUUGUUGACAACUUUCUACCCAAUGAGGUACUUCUAUGAUAUGCAUGCACAGUAUGGUUGGUUGCCUACGAGGAGUACGUUUUCAG
rnacentral:lncRNA from 13 species